CGGGGGGAGCAAGCGUUGUUCGGAUUUACUGGGCGUAAAGGGCGCGUAGGCGGCCACCGCAAGUCGACUGUGAAAUCUCCGGGCUUAACUCGGAAAGGUCAGCCGAUACUGCGGGGCUAGAGUGCAGAAGGGGCAACUGGAAUUCUCGGUGUAGCGGUGAAAUGCGUAGAUAUCGAGAGGAACACCUGCGGCGAAGGCGGGUUGCUGGGCUGACACUGACGCUGAGGCGCGAAAGCUAGGGGGAGCGAGCGGGAUUAGAUACCCCGGUAGUCCUAGCCUUAAACGAUGAAUGCUUGGUGUCUGGGGUUUUAUAGUCCCCGGGUGCCGUCGCUAACGCUUUAAGCAUUCCGCCUGGGGAGUACGGUCGCAAGACUG
rnacentral:rRNA from 1 species